GCGCCCGUGGCUCGAGCGGAUAUAGGCCCCUGAGUUCUAGUCAGGUGUUACGGGAGUUCGAAUCUCUCCGGGCGUGCCA
rnacentral:tRNA from 1 species